rnacentral:rRNA from 1 species
UACGUAGGCAGCGAGCGUUGUUCGGAAUUACUGGGCGUAAAGAGUGUGUAGGCGGUGCUCCAAGUCUGGUGUGAAAUCUCCCGGCUUAACUGGGAGGGUGCGCCGGAAACUGGAGUGCUCGAGGGUGGGAGAGGUAAGCGGAAUUCCUGGUGUAGCGGUGAAAUGCGUAGAUAUCAGGAGGAACACCUGUGGUGUAGACAGCUUACUGGACCACUUCUGACGCUGAGACACGAAAGCGUGGGUAGCAAACAGG